CCUACGGGAGGCAGCAGUAGGGAAUCUUCCACAAUGGACGAAAGUCUGAUGGAGCAACGCCGCGUGAACGAUGAAGGCUUUCGGGUCGUAAAGUUCUGUUGUAAGGGAAGAACAAGUGCCGCAGGCAAUGGCGGCACCUUGACGGUACCUUGCGAGAAAGCCACGGCUAACUACGUGCCAGCAGCCGCGGUAAUACGUAGGUGGCAAGCGUUGUCCGGAAUUAUCGGGCGUAAAGCGCGCGCAGGCGGCCUCUUAAGUCUGAUGUGAAAGCCCCCGGCUCAACCGGGGAGGGCCAUUGGAAACUGGGAGGCUUGAGUAUAGGAGAGAAGAGUGGAAUUCCACGUGUAGCGGUGAAAUGCGUAGAGAUGUGGAGGAACACCAGUGGCGAAGGCGACUCUUUGGCCUAUAACUGACGCUGAGGCGCGAAAGCGUGGGGAGCAAACAGGAUUAGAUACCCUGGUAGUCCACGCCGUAAACGAUGAGUGCUAGGUGUUGGAGGGUUUCCGCCCUUCAGUGCUGAAGCUAACGCAUUAAGCACUCCGCCUGGGGA
rnacentral:rRNA from 1 species